UACGAAGGGGGCUAGCGUUGUUCGGAAUCACUGGGCGUAAAGCGCACGUAGGCGGAUUGCUAAGUCAGGGGUGAAAUCCUGGAGCUCAACUCCAGAACUGCCUUUGAUACUGGCGAUCUUGAGUCCGGGAGAGGUGAGUGGAACUGCGAAGUGUAGAGGUGAAAUUCGUAGAUAUUCGCAAGAACACCAGUGGCGAAGGCGGCUCACUGGCCCGGUACUGACGCUGAGGUGCGAAAGCGUAGG
rnacentral:rRNA from 1 species